rnacentral:rRNA from 1 species
AUGGGGGGACCACCCUCCAACCCUAAAUACUACCCAGUGACCGAUAGCGUAUAGUACUGUGAAGGAAAGGUGAAAAGGACCCCGGGAGGGGAGUGAAAGAGAACCUGAAACCUUGUGCCUACAAGCACAUAGAGCCCGUCAAAGGGUGAUAUGGUACUUUUUGUAGAACGGUCCGGCGAGCGAUUGUACGUUGCGAGCUUAAGGUCUUAAGGACUGGAGGCGUAGCGAGAGCGAGUCUAAACAGGGCGUUUAGUAGCGUGCAAUGGGCCCGAAACCGGGUGACCUACCCAUGAUCAGGCUGAAGUGAAAGUAAAAUUUCAUGGAGGGCCGAACCGACCUCCGUUGAAUGUGGGUAGCGGAGAAAUUCCAAUCGAACUCGGAGAUAGCUGGUUCUCCCCGAAAUAGCUUUAGGGCUAGCCUCAUGUUAGAUAUCCGGAGGUAAAGCACUGAAUGGCCUAGCGUCCGAGAGGAUAGCGAAGCCUAUCAAACUAAGAAUGCCGGAAUAUUGAUGCAUGGGAGUCAGACAGUGUGAGAUAAAUCUCAUUGUCAAAAGGGAAACAGCCCAGAUCUACAGCUAAGGUCCCAAAUUGUAUCUAAGUGGAAAACGAUGUGGAAAUACGCAGACAACCAGGAUGUUGGCUCAGAAGCAGCCACUCAUUUAAAGAGUGCGUAAUAGCUCACUGGUCGAGCGUCUCUGCGCGGAAAAUUUAACGGGGCUAAGAUACAAACCGAAGCUUAGGCUGCACUUUUAGUGCGGGGUAGGGGAGCGUUGUGUAAGCGGAGAAACAGUAGCGGAAGCGGCUGUGGAGUUUACAGAAGUGAGAAUGCCGGAAUGAGUAGCGCGAAUGAUGUGAGAAUCAUCAUGGCCGGAAACCUCAGGUUUUUGGAGGAAGGUUCGUCCGCUCCAAGUUAGGCGGGAGCUAAGGUGAGGCCGAAAGGCGUAGCCGAUGCACAGACGGUAGAGAUUCCGUCCCCACCGAAAGAUUUAAGCGCAGGGACACUUUUAGAAGGUCGGAGCCAGGUGUUGGUUCUGGUAGAGAUCGAGGGAAGAUUAGUACCGAAGUCCGGCUGGAUAAGAGGCGAGAAAAGCUGCGUGUAUAUCUAAGGUGCCCGUACCGCAAACCGACACAGGUAGGUAGGAAGAAGAUUCUAAGGCCAACGGGAGAAGGGUUGUUAAGGAACUCGGCAAGUUGACCCCGUAACUUCGGAAUAAGGGGUGCUCAUGAAAGUGAGCCGCAGAGAAUAGGCCCAGGCAACUGUUUACCAAAAACACAGGUUUGUGCUAAAUCGAAAGAUGACGUAUACGAGCUGACGCCUGCCCGGUGCUGGAAGGUUAAAAGGAGAUGUGCAAGCAUUGAAUUGAAGCCCCAGUGAACGGCGGCCGUAACUAUAACGGUCCUAAGGUAGCGAAAUUCCUUGUCAGGUAAGUUCUGACCCGCAUGAAAGGCGU